GGAAGUAAAAGUCGAACAAGGUUUCCGUAGGUGAACCUGCGGAAGGAUCAUUAAAAAUGAAGCCGGGAAACCGGUCCUUCUAACCCUUGAUUAUCUUAAUUUGUUGCUUUGGUGGGCCGCGCAAGCACCGGCUUCGGCUGGAUCGUGCCCGCCAGAGGACACAACUCUGUAUCAAAUGUCGUCUGAGUACUAUAAAAUAGUUAAAACUUUCAACAACGGAUCUCUUGGUUCUG
rnacentral:misc_RNA from 1 species